rnacentral:rRNA from 1 species
AUGAAGCUUUUGUGCUGGAAUUGUCGCGGGAUUGGCGACCCCGCGACGGUUAGAGAGCUCCGUGAUCUCGUGGAGGCGUGUGUGCCGGCGGUGCUUUGUAUUGUGGAGAUGCGGCUGGCAAAGUACCGUGUGGAAGGAUUGGCGGGUACUUUAGGUUUUUCAGGUCGCUUUGGAGUAGAUAGUAGUGGUAGGAGUGGAGGUUCAUGCUUAUUCUGGAAAAAUAAUGUU